rnacentral:rRNA from 1 species
GAUGAACGCUGGCGGCGUGCCUAAUACAUGCAAGUCGAGCGAACGGACGAGAAGCUUGCUUCUCUGAUGUUAGCGGCGGACGGGUGAGUAACACGUGGAUAACCUACCUAUAAGACUGGGAUAACUUCGGGAAACCGGAGCUAAUACCGGAUAAUAUUUUGAACCGCAUGGUUCAAAAGUGAAAGACGGUCUUGCUGUCACUUAUAGAUGGAUCCGCGCUGCAUUAGCUAGUUGGUAAGGUAACGGCUUACCAAGGCAACGAUGCAUAGCCGACCUGAGAGGGUGAUCGGCCACACUGGAACUGAGACACGGUCCAGACUCCUACGGGAGGCAGCAGUAGGGAAUCUUCCGCAAUGGGCGAAAGCCUGACGGAGCAACGCCGCGUGAGUGAUGAAGGUCUUCGGAUCGUAAAACUCUGUUAUUAGGGAAGAACAUAUGUGUAAGUAACUGUGCACAUCUUGACGGUACCUAAUCAGAAAGCCACGGCUAACUACGUGCCAGCAGCCGCGGUAAUACGUANGUGGCAAGCGUUAUCCGGAAUUAUUGGGCGUAAAGCGCGCGUAGGCGGUUUUUUAAGUCUGAUGUGAAAGCCCACGGCUCAACCGUGGAGGGUCAUUGGAAACUGGAAAACUUGAGUGCAGAAGAGGAAAGUGGAAUUCCAUGUGUAGCGGUGAAAUGCGCAGAGAUAUGGAGGAACACCAGUGGCGAAGGCGACUUUCUGGUCUGUAACUGACGCUGAUGUGCGAAAGCGUGGGGAUCAAACAGGAUUAGAUACCCUGGUAGUCCACGCCGUAAACGAUGAGUGCUAAGUGUUAGGGGGUUUCCGCCCCUUAGUGCUGCAGCUAACGCAUUAAGCACUCCGCCUGGGGAGUACGACCGCAAGGUUGAAACUCAAAGGAAUUGACGGGGACCCGCACAAGCGGUGGAGCAUGUGGUUUAAUUCGAAGCAACGCGAAGAACCUUACCAAAUCUUGACAUCCUUUGACAACUCUAGAGAUAGAGCCUUCCCCUUCGGGGGACAAAGUGACAGGUGGUGCAUGGUUGUCGUCAGCUCGUGUCGUGAGAUGUUGGGUUAAGUCCCGCAACGAGCGCAACCCUUAAGCUUAGUUGCCAUCAUUAAGUUGGGCACUCUAAGUUGACUGCCGGUGACAAACCGGAGGAAGGUGGGGAUGACGUCAAAUCAUCAUGCCCCUUAUGAUUUGGGCUACACACGUGCUACAAUGGACAAUACAAAGGGCAGCGAAACCGCGAGGUCAAGCAAAUCCCAUAAAGUUGUUCUCAGUUCGGAUUGUAGUCUGCAACUCGACUACAUGAAGCUGGAAUCGCUAGUAAUCGUAGAUCAGCAUGCUACGGUGAAUACGUUCCCGGGUCU